rnacentral:misc_RNA from 1 species
AAGUCGUAACAAGGUUUCCGUAGGUGAACCUGCGGAAGGAUCAUUAACAAAAUAUAAUUUUACCUUUGUGAAUUGGGUAGCUAAUUUAUUAGCCGCCUCUUUUUAACUUUGAGUCUAAAUCUAUACAAUAAUUAUAUAAUAAUUUUUAACAAUGGAUCUCUAGGCUCUU